rnacentral:rRNA from 1 species
GGGUGGCGAGUGGCGGACGGGUGAGGAAUACAUCGGAAUCUACUUUUUCGUGGGGGAUAACGUAGGGAAACUUACGCUAAUACCGCAUACGACCUACGGGUGAAAGCAGGGGAUCUUCGGACCUUGCGCGAUUGAAUGAGCCGAUGUCGGAUUAGCUAGUUGGCGGGGUAAAGGCCUACCAAGGCGACGAUCCGUAGCUGGUCUGAGAGGAUGAUCAGCCACACUGGAACUGAGACACGGUCCAGACUCCUACGGGAGGCAGCAGUGGGGAAUAUUGGACAAUGGGCGCAAGCCUGAUCCAGCCAUACCGCGUGGGUGAAGAAGGCCUUCGGGUUGUAAAGCCCUUUUGUUGGGAAAGAAAUCCAGCUGGCUAAUACCCGGUUGGGAUGACGGUACCCAAAGAAUAAGCACCGGCUAACUUCGUGCCAGCAGCCGCGGUAAUACGAAGGGUGCAAGCGUUACUCGGAAUUACUGGGCGUAAAGCGUGCGUAGGUGGUCGUUUAAGUCCGUUGUGAAAGCCCAGGGCUCAACCUGGGAACUGCAGUGGAUACUGGACGACUAGAGUGUGGUAGAGGGUAGCGGAAUUCCUGGUGUAGCAGUGAAAUGCGUAGAGAUCAGGAGGAACAUCCAUGGCGAAGGCAGCUACCUGGACCAACACUGACACUGAGGCGCGAAAGCGUGGGGAGCAAACAGGAUUAGAUANCCUGGUAGUCCACGCCCUAAACGAUGCGAACUGGAUGUUGGGUGCAAUUUGGC